AUGGUUCUCUGUGGGUCGCUGUGGGUCGCUAUGGGGCACAGUGGGUCUCUAUGGUUCUCUAUGGGUCCCUAUUGGGUCUCUGUGGGUCUCUAUGGGUCUCUAUGGGAUCUCUAUGGGUCUCCAUGGGUCUCAGUGGGUCACUAUGGGUCUCUAUGGGUCCCUAUGGGUCUCUUUGGGAUCUCUGUGGGUCUCUAUGGGUCUCUAUGGGUCUCUAUGGGUCGCUAUGGGUCUCUAUGUGUCUCUAUGGUUCCCUAUGGGUCUCUAUGGGUCGCUAUGGGUCUCUAUGGGUUUGUAUGGGUCCCAAUGGGUCUCUACAGGUCUCUAUGGGUCUCAGUGGGUCUCUAUGGGUCGCUGUGGGUCGCUAUGGGUCUCUAUGGGGUCUCUGUGGUUCUCUAUGGGGCACUGUGGGAUUCUAUGGUUCUCUAUGGGUCUCUAUGGGUCUCUGUGGGUCCCUAUGGGUCCUUAUGGUUCCCUAUGGGUCUCUAUGGGUCUCUAUGGUGCACUAUGGGAUCUCUAUGGGUCGCUGUGGGUUGCCGUGGGUCUCUGUGGGGCCCUCUGAGUCUCUGUGGGUCACUAUGGGUCACAAUGGGUCUCUAUGAGGACCUAUGGGUCUCUAUGGGUCCCUAUGGGUCUCUAUGUGGUCUCUGUGGUUCUCUAUGGGGCACUAUGGGAUUCUAUGGGUCUCUAUGUGUCUCUAUGGGUUGCUGUGGGUCACUAUGGGGCACAGUGCGUCUCUGUGGGUCUCUGUGGGGUUUCUAUGAGUCUCUAUGGGUCUCUAUGGGUCGCUGUGGUUCUCUAUGGGGCACUAUGGGUCUCUAUGGGUUCUCCAUGGGUCCCUAUGGGUCUCUAUGGUUCCCUAUGGGUCGCUAUGGGUCUCUAUGGGUCUCUAUGGGAUCUCUAUGGGUCUCCAUGGGUCUCAGUGGGUCACUAUGGGUCGCUGUGGGUCUCUAUGGGUCCCUAUGGGUCUCUGUGGGUCUCCAUGGGUCUCUGUGGGUCACUAUGGGUCCCUAUGGGUCUCUUUGGGAUCUCUGUGGGUCUCUAUGGGUCUCUAUGGGUCUCUAUGGGUCGCUAUGGGUCUCUAUGGGUCGCUGUGGGUCUCAGUGGGUCUCAGUGGGUCGCUGUGGGUCUCUAUGGGUCACUGUGGGUCUCUAUAGUUCCCUAUGGGUCGCUAUGGGUCUCUGUGGUUCUCUAUGGGAUCUCUGUGGGUCUCUAUGGGUCUCCAUGGGUCUCUGUGGUUCUCUAUGGGGCACUAUGGGAUUCUAUGGUUCUCUAUGUGUCUCUAUGGGUCUCUAUGGGUCGCUAUGGGUCCCUAUGGUUCUCUAUGGGAUCUCUGUGGGUCUCUAUGGGUCCCUAUGGGUCUCUAUGGCUCCCUAUGGGUCGCUAUGGGUCUCUAUGGGUCUCUAUGGUUCUCUAUGGGUCUCUAUGGGUCGCUGUGGGUCGCAGUGGGUCGCUGUGGGUCGCUGUGGGUCGCUAUGGGGCACAGUGGGUCUCUAUGGUUCUCUAUGGGUCCCUAUGGGUCUCUGUGGGUCUCUUUGGGUCCCUAUGGAUCUCUUUAGGAUCUCUGUGGGUCGCUGUGGGUCACUGUGGUUCUCUAUGGGGCACUAUGUGUUUCUAUGGGUCUCUAUGGGUCCCUAUGGUUCUCUAUGGGAUCUCUGUGGGUCUCUGUGGGUCACUAUGGGUCGCUGUGGGUCUCUAUGGGUCCCUAUGGGUCACUAUGGUUCCCUAUGGGUCGCUAUGUGUCUCUAUGGGUCCCUAUGGAUCUCUAUGGGUCUCAAUGGGUCGCUGUGGGUCCCUAUGGGGCAAUAUGGAUCUCUAUGUGUCUCUAUGGGUCUCUAUGGGUCUCUAUGGGUCUCAGUGGGUCACUGUGGGUCUCAGUGGGUCGCUGUGGUUCUCUAUGGGUUGCUGUGGGUCGCAGUGGGUCGCUAUGGGUCUCUAUGGGUCGCUAUGGGUCCCUAUGGGUCUCUUUGGGAUCUCUGUGGGUCUCUAUGGGUCGCUAUGGGUCUCUAUGGUUCCCUAUGGGUCGCUAUGGGUUGCUAUGGGUCUCUGUGGUUCUCUAUGGGUCCCUAUGGUUCUCUAUGGGAUCUCUGUGGGUCUCUGUGGGUCACUAUGGGUCUCUGUGGGUCUCUAUGGGUCUCUAUGGAAUCUCUAUGGGUCACUAUGGAUCUCUAUGGCUCCCUAUGGGUCGCUAUGGGUCACUGUGGGUCUCUAUGGUUCCCUAUGGGUCGCUAUGGGUCCCUAUAGGUCUCUAUGGGUCUCUGUGGUUCUCUAUGGGGCACUAUGGGUUUCCGUGGGUCUCUAUGGGUCUCUAUGGUUCUCUAUGGGUCUCAGUGGGUCUCAGUGGGUCUCAGUGGGUCUCAGUGGGUCGCAGUGGGUCGCAGUGGGUCGUGGUGGGGCCCGGCGCUGACGCGGCGCUGACGCGGUUUCCUGCAGGUCGCCAUUGCGGCGCCGCCGCCAUCGCCCCACG
rnacentral:lncRNA from 1 species